CUGACUGUAAACACAAUGUCUGUUACAGGUAUGAAUACUGACAGCACUUCUGUGCCUCCAUCAUCAUGGUACAUUGUGCUGAUACUUGGCAUUCUCUGUCUCUGCCUCUGCAUUGGUUUCAUCUAUUUUGUAAGACACAGAGGAAAAAAUUCAGAGGGGGAGCUGGGCCCGGAUGGAGCAAACACUGAGUACAUGGUGCCACCGACCGCAGAGAAAGCAUUUCCCCCAAAUACCCCUCAGGAUAACACUGUGUACUGCACUGUGGGACACCCAAAGGACCUGCCCCCAGGACCACCCCCACCAGCUCACUGUGAUGACACAAGUAUUUACAGUCAGGUGAAAAAAUAACAUGGACUUUUCUACAGAAUGACUGCUGGCUGGAACUUUUUAGCUCAUGCCUGUGAUGCUACUUCCUUUGCAGUGGGUCUGUCUGUACUGUGAAUGUUCAUGCACUUUUCAGCUCAUGCAUGUGACAUGUCCUGCUUAGCAAAGAGUCUGUGUGCACAUUGCGAUGCAUCAGAGUGUAAUGUGGACAAUGUGAUGUGUUACCUGCCAACAUGCAUGAGGAGGUGAUUUGUACAUUAAUGUCAGUGUUAAUCAUCUGCACUAAGCAUGAUGCAUUUAUAACUGUUUAGCAGAUGUUUGUUAUCCAAAGAGACAUCCAAUAAAACAGACAGCAGGCAGUCCUUAGAGCUAUUGGGGUUAAGGUCUCAGCUCAGGGUUUGAAGCCGUUUGCUACUGAGUCCUAACCGACUGAUCCUCACCAACAGCGUGUUUGUGUGUCAGGGAGUGAGCUUGUCUGGCUAGGAGUUUAUACACCAAGCUGCGUGAGUAUUAAUGUGUAAGAAAUCCUGCUAGCAUUGCUGGGGUAGAUAACUGCAAGUGCUGUUUAUGGUGGAAAAAAGUUAAUUUCAGUAUUUCAUUUUGCAGCUAAUACUUAUUUUGUGUGAAAUUGGGAAAAACUGAUUUUAAUCUUUUUAAGCUGUCAUACAGAAAACAAGCCAGCAGCUACUUCCCCUUUUAUUUUAUUGCCACUUGCAGACACAGACCAAUAAUCAGUUCUUACUGCUUACUGAUUACCGGAUAUAGCAGCAUAUGCAGGCUGACAUUUUCAAUGCAAUGUCAAUCGGAAGUGUUUCAUCUAUUUCAUAGAUUACUGUAUUGUCUGGUUGUAAAAGAGUUAAGAUGUACAAGGUUAGGAAUGAUUUAGGUGGAUGUAUGUAUGUAUUUGAGCCUAUAUAUAUAUAAUUUUGAGCCUGUGUGGAUUUUAGAAAAUCUAAAAUAUAUUCAAACUAUAUUCUUGUUUUAAAAAAUCACUGAAGAUAUAUGUUGUAUAAUCUUUCCACCCUGUAAAAAAUAACGGUACAAAUAAAUCAUUAAAAGCCCAAAAUUAA